rnacentral:lncRNA from 1 species
CUGAAGCAGAGGCAACAACAGCUGCUCCUGUUGAGGUGAAGGAGAAAGAGAUAGUUGUUGAAGCAGAAGCAAAGAAAGAGGAAGAACCAGCACCAGCACCUGCGGCGACACCUGCAGCUGAGGUGGCACCUGCUGAGGUAGCACCUGCAGCUGACGUGGCACCUGCCAAGGUGGAAGAAGCACCUGCAGCAGUAGCAGCACCGGAACCACCAAAAGCUUGAUGAAUCUAUCAAUUUGUUUGUCUCUCUGUGUAAGAGUUGAUUUUUUUUUAAUUUUUUUUUGUAUUUUAAUUUUUCUAUGUU